rnacentral:rRNA from 1 species
UACAGAGGGUGCGAGCGUUAAUCGGAAUUACUGGGCGUAAAGCGUGCGCAGACGGUUGCGUAAGUCUGUUGUGAAAGCCCCGGGCUCAACCUGGGAAUGGCAAUGGAUACUGGCAGGCUAGAGUGCGGUAGAGGGUAGUGGAAUUCCCGGUGUAGCGGUGAAAUGCGUAGAGAUCGGGAGGAACACCAGUGGCGAAGGCGGCUACCUGGACCAGCACUGACACUGAGGCACGAAAGCGUGGGGAGCAAACAGG